GGCGAACGCUGGCGGCGUGCUUAACACAUGCAAGUCGAACGGAAAGGCCCUGCUUUUGUGGGGUGCUCGAGUGGCGAACGGGUGAGUAACACGUGAGUAACCUGCCCUUGACUUUGGGAUAACUUCAGGAAACUGGGGCUAAUACCGGAUAGGAGCUCCUGCUGCAUGGUGGGGGUUGGAAAGUUUCGGCGGUUGGGGAUGGACUCGCGGCUUAUCAGCUUGUUGGUGGGGUAGUGGCUUACCAAGGCUUUGACGGGUAGCCGGCCUGAGAGGGUGACCGGCCACAUUGGGACUGAGAUACGGCCCAGACUCCUACGGGAGGCAGCAGUGCGGAAUAUUGCACAAUGGGCGGAAGCCUGAUGCAGCAACGCCGCGUGCGGGAUGACGGCCUUCGGGUUGUAAACCGCUUUCGCCUGUGACGAAGCGUGAGUGACGGUAAUGGGUAAAGAAGCACCGGCUAACUACGUG
rnacentral:rRNA from 1 species